ACCUCGAACUCACAGAGAUCUGCCUGCAUCUGCCUCCUGAGUGUUGCGAUUAAAGGCGUGUGCCACCAACGCCCAGCCAAGGUUUUUAAAGUUUGAUUUUAUGUGAGUAUUUUGCCUACAUGUUUACACCAUAUGCAUGCUUGGUACCUACAGACACCAGAAGAAGGCGUUGGAUCCCCUGGAGUGAUGCUAAGUGUGAUUGGUCUAGGUAGAAUCACUGUGGAUUUAUACACUACUUUGUCUUAAGAGAAGAACCAUUUUAAAGAAUUGCAGAGGCAAAAUCUCAUGUAAAAGUCCUGGUAUAGUGAUUAAACAAGCUGUUUAUUGCCAGGCUUCCCUUGUUAAUUUUAUACCUCUUGCACUGUUAUCCUGAUCUAAGUUCACUGUCUUGUCAUCUCAGGGUCAGAAAAUUUGGAAGUCGUGAAAUGUGCCCAUAGGGCUUUUUGUUGGAAUAUUUGGUCUCUAACUACUGUUCCUGUUUGGGGCGUUUGGAACUUUAGGAAAUGGGACCUGCCUAGAGAAAGUGGCCACUAGCGGACAUACUCUUAACCUCUGAGCCAGUUUUCCAGCCUGAAGUAAACAUUUAAAAUUUUUUAUUAUUUA